UAUUGCACAAUGGGCGAAAGCCUGAUGCAGCAACGCCGCGUGAGGGAUGACGGCCUUCGGUGUGUAAACCUCUUUUAGUAGGGUAGAAGCGAAAGUGACGGUACCUGCAGAUUAAGCACCGGCUAACUACGUGCUAGCAGCCGCGGUAAUACGGAGGGUGCAAGCGUUGUCCGGAAUUAUUGGGCGUAAAGAGAUCGUAGGCGGUUUGUCGCGUCUGCUGUGAAAUCCCGAGGCUCAACCUCGGGCUUGCAGUGGGUACGGGCAGACUAGAGUGCGGUAGGGGAGAUUGGAAUUCCUGGUGUAGCGGUGGAAUGCGCAGAUAUCAGGAGGAACACCGAUGGCGAAGGCAGAUCUCUGGGCCGUAACUGACGCUGAGGAGCGAAAGCGUGGGGAGCGAACAG
rnacentral:rRNA from 1 species